UACGGGGGGGGGUAAGCGUUGUUCGGAUUUACUGGGCGUAAAGGGCGCGUAGGCGGCCACCGCAAGUCGACUGUGAAAUCUCCGGGACUUAACCCGGAAAGGUCAGCCGAUACUGCGGGGCUAGAGUGCAGAAGGGGCAACUGGAAUUCUCGGUGUAGCGGUGAAAUGCGUAGAUAUCGAGAGGAACACCUGCGGCGAAGGCGGGUUGCUGGGCUGACACUGACGCUGAGGCGCGAAAGCUAGGGGAGCGAACGGG
rnacentral:rRNA from 1 species